AAAGCAAAUAAUGAUAGCGAGCAUUGAAUGAAUUUGGAGUAUAAUCGCUGUAGUGUAUCGAUGUGCGAGUGACGUGUGCGCGCUCCCGACAAGGGGGGAUAUUUCACGCAGGGCGGCUAUUUUUCGGCACAACACCGGGCAUGACGCUAUAAACUGAAAUCGUGAUCAAAGAGCGUGACGUGUUAAAGAACGAUCUAGUGUCACUUCAAAGAUCUCGCUUGACGUCACAAAGAACGAUCUUUGAUCUUAGAUGUCAAAUCACAGUAUAAAACAAUCCGUGAGUGACAUCCCGUCAGAUGCUACAGUGGAGUCAAGUGCACAAGACUCAACUGACGACACUAUCUGGACGAAAGACUUCGACCAUGGAACAUCUUGCAUCUGAAAUUCUUGCAAACAUCGAAAGGCUGGGAGGUUGGUAUCUCGAUCGGCUCCCGAGGAAAAGAAACUGACCGGAGGUAUGGCGAGUAACAUGGUCAGUUUUGGAGCUGAAUUCGAGGACGAUGCACAAUGGAGCAUGUUGUUAUGCUGCAACUCAACCAGAGCACUUAAUGGAGCACCCGCUGGGUUUACCAGAUUUGGAUAUGGUGAGCGACGGUUCCAAGAUGACAGUACCCAACAUGCUGGAGGUCCAAAUGGGCAUCUUUCCAGCCACAUCAGACAUCCUCAAAGUCAACGAGGAAAGAACAAAGUCUGCAACCAGGGAAAUGUUCAUUUUGGCUGAGCUGAUCGAAACAGAAAAGGCUUACGUGCGAGACCUGCGUGAGGGCAUUGAUACUUGCAUGAGGGAGAUGUUGACCCAAGAGAAGAAGAUUCCUGCAGGACUAAACAACAUGGAGCACGUCAUCUUUGGGAACUUGCUGGAGCUGUAUGAAUUCCAUCAUGAGAUCUUUCUCAAGGAACUGGAAAAACAUGCAAACGUCCCUGAAGAUGUCGGGCAUUGCUUUGUCAAAUGGGCUGAGAAGUUCCAGUUAUAUGUGGACUACUGCAAGAACAGUGACAAGUCCACUCGGCUCAUCAUGGAGCAUACUGUCAACUAUUCUAAUAAAAUUCAGCAGAAGCACGGACUGGCAUUCUCGGUAGAAUCUUUCCUAAUCAAACCAAUACAGAGAAUGACAAGAUAUCCGCUCUUGUUAAAGAAUCUCCUCGAGUGCUGUGAAGAUAGGAAAGGAGUACUCAAGGAAGCCCUUGAGUUGACUCUCAGCAUUCCUAAGAGAGCCAAUGAUGCCAUUCAUUUCUCCAUGCUGGAAGGUUUUAAUGAGAGCGUUGAAUCCCAACGUGAGCUACUCCUAAAGGAGUCAUUCAAAAUGUGGGAUUCAAAAUUACCAUUUUGUAGGGGGAAGAAUAGACACCUUUUUCUCCUGAAAAAAUCAUUGGUGGUCUGCAAGGAGGUCAAGGAUGACAAAGGCAUGACAAAGUACAUAUAUAAGAGAAAACUUAACCUAGCUGAGAUGAAGCUGACAGAACACCUUAAGGGAGAUCCUGGCAAGUUUGUUCUUGGAGUGGGGCACACCUGGAUGUCCAGCAAAGGAAUUGUUCUUAAAGCGUCAACUAUUCAAACCAAGCUGGACUGGAUCGAGCAUAUCCAGAAGUUAAACAAGGAGCACACCAUCCACCUGACGGGAUCACUCACAGAGCCGAUCAGUAUUCCUUAAGCCAUCACAGCAAAGCUCUGCAAGAGCCAAAGACAUUUGCCAUUUGCGCCUCUGCUCACAUUCACCAUAUCAUACUUACUCUUCUAAAUCUUGUUGGACCUCCACUGGCUAAAUUCAAUCCAGUCCUGUACGUGGGGUCAUGGGUGGCCAAAGGACACAGAACUGCCACUGACACGCGCAGUAAAACCCGAAACAGAGAGGGGGUGGAGAAUCCGGACAUCCUCGCGGUGUGGAAUGUUUUGGAAUAUGGCGCCAGCUGGAAGAGAAUACCUCCCAAAUAUGCCUAAAGCACCGAAAAAAGGAGAAAAGACUGACAAGACUGAAGAAACGGAAGAUUUAACAUCUUCUAUGCAAAAAUUAGAGCUAAAAUUAGAGCAAAUUAUGGAAAGUCUGGAUAUUGUGGAGGAUAGCUGGGGUAGAUGGCGGCCGCUGUGUCUGACCACACUCGAAGUGGAACGAUAUCGAGAAUGUUUCCUUUUGGUGCGCUGCUGGCAGCUACUCUUCUGAUUGUGCCAGGUGGGACAGUGAUCGCUGGGACGGUCCUUACUGAAGGAACUAACGACGCCAGGCCCCCAGGCCUUGAGUCCACAACCGGAAUGGCGAUGCAACCUACUACGAAGCUGCCCAACCUUGAGAUGAAUGUUCUUCGGGAGUCAGCAAGGAAUGAAAACUGCGACGAGAAUUAAGUCGACAAAAGGAGGGUGGCGGACACGCCCACCAUCGGUCCUCAGCUAUCCCCUAUCCUCUGGAUCAAAUCAACAGAAUAAACUAAUUACUGAAUUAUGAACUAAUCUACUGGAUCUAAUCAUCAUAACGAGCACAUUGCCACGAUCGACAAUGGACUAUUGGGAAAAUAAACAAUCAGAGGGGAUGGUUAUUAUUAAAAAAAAAAAAAAAAAAAAAACUUGUAAUCACUACGAAAUCUGAAUGUCAAAUAUUGAUAUCAGAUAUUUUCUGCGUCCUAUAUGGUAUACUGGGGACUGGUUUCAAUAAGCUUCGGCUUCUCCCGUCAGCCCUUUUCUUUUCGGGUUGAAUUAAUUGUUAACACAUAUAAAUGCUGUAUGUUUGGAUUUGUCAUGCCUGAAGGGAAAUAAAUAAAUAAAGUACUUAAUAGGCCGCCGUGCCAAUCUCACCUGUCAACCCGAGGCCAUUGGCAGUCAUACAAAUAGUGACGUAUGCCCUUACAAAUUGGUGACUAAUCUUACAACGUUCUAUGUAGCGUGCAAUAUGAAAAAAAAAAUAAAACUAAAUUUUUAAAAUAAUAUGAAUUUAUUGGUGAUAUUGUCACAAAUAACCUGGUGCAAUCAAAGAACAAUCAAUAUCUUCAGCUACAUGAUGAGUACUAAUAUUUAACAGUGACUUUGGUUAUAAUUGUAUGUAGCACUUUUGGCAAUUUCUAUCAUGUGUUGAUGGCUGCACUUUAUGGCAUUUCAGCUCGUAAUUCAGUUUGACUUGAAGGUAGUUCGUUGGUGUGUCCAUUUAUAAAUUAAAAAGGUCAAUUGAUAAAAUUACCUUACCGAUGCAAUCUUUGAGUCAGGGAACAUUUCUUUUGCUAAUUCUGAGAAGUGAUCAGCAAAAGUUGCAGGCAAAUUGUUGUUUGGCAACAAAUUGGCAGAAUGAAAUCUCAGCUUUCGUCACUUUUCAUUCUGCAGACUUCAUCUUUAUGACCAGUGUUGGUAAUCUUACUUUUAAAAAGUAAUUAAUUAGUUACAAAUUACUUCUCCCAAAAAGUAAUUGAGUUAACUCAGUUACCUGAAUGUAAGAGUAAUUAGUUACUUGGCAAAGCCACUGGUGUUACCUUUCAUGUUUUUGUUUUUUUUUCAUUUAAAAAAAAAAAAAGAAAGAAAAAAAACACAGUCACCUUUGCUAUGUUUGGAAAUGGUUUAACGUUGUGAAUCAACUGUUAAAGCUAUUAAAAUUGCUACCGUUUUGCAUUGGUUCCCUUCUACUUUCGACAUGUUAAAGUUUUAAAACUUUUUCAUCAUUAAAGAUAGAUUCAAGUGAGGUUUUUGCCAUUUUAGGAGUAUUUUAGAUAAAAAGUUACUUAAGUUUGCUAUGAAGGUUCACUACAACAGAGCCUUUCAGAGAAGUCUGCUGCUUCAAAAUGGCGACUGUUUAUAAACGCCGCCAUCUGUCAAUUUGCAUGUAGUUCUAUAAGCAUUUGAUAUCCAGGCAUAGAUUGUAGGCUGUCGGCUACAGUCAGGAAUCAAUGGCGCCACCUAGCCUAGCAUUGCAUUUGCUACAGCGUCAAAACACUCUUCUCUCUCAGUGUCUCUGAGUUUUCUCGCGUCAUUCAACCA